rnacentral:ncRNA from 1 species
UUUUUGGAGAGUUUGAUCCUGGCUCAGGACGAACGCUGGCGGCGUGCCUAAUACAUGCAAGUCGAGCGGAUCUAAAGGAGCUUGCUCCUUUAGAUUAGCGGCGGACGGGUGAGUAACACGUGGGCAACCUGCCCUGCAGAUUGGGAUAACUCCGGGAAACCGGGGCUAAUACCGAAUAAUAUCGAAGAUUUCAUGAUCUUCUUUUGAAAGAUGGCAUCUCGCUGUCACUGCAGGAUGGGCCCGCGGCGCAUUAGCUAGUUGGUGAGGUAACGGCUCACCAAGGCAACGAUGCGUAGCCGACCUGAGAGGGUGAUCGGCCACACUGGGACUGAGACACGGCCCAGACUCCUACGGGAGGCAGCAGUAGGGAAUCUUCCGCAAUGGACGAAAGUCUGACGGAGCAACGCCGCGUGAGUGAUGAAGGUUUUCGGAUCGUAAAACUCUGUCCUCAG